rnacentral:rRNA from 1 species
AACACCGGCAGCCCGAGUGGUGAUCACUAUUAUUGGGUCUAAAGGGUCCGUAGCCGGUUUAAUCAGUCUUCUGGGAAAUCUAAUCGCUUAACUAUUAGGCUUCCAGGGGAUACUGUUAGACUUGGGACCGGGAGAGGUAAGAGGUACUGCAGGGGUAGGAGUGAAAUCUUGUAAUCCCUGUGAGACCACCAGUGGCGAAGGCGUCUUACCAGAACGGGUCCGACGGUGAGGGACGAAAGCUGGGGGCACGAACCGGAUUAGAUACCCGGGUAGUCCCAGCUGUAAACGAUGCUCGUUAGGUGUCAGGAACGGUGCGACUGUUUCUGGUGCCGAAGGGAAGCCGUGAAACGAGCCACCUGGGAAGUACGGCCGCAAGGCUGAAACUUAAAGGAAUUGGCGGGGGAGCACUACAACGGGUGGAGCCUGCGGUUUAAUUGGACUCAACGCCGGAAAACUCACCGGGGGCGACAGCAAUAUGUAGGUCAGGUUAAAGGUCUUACCUGAAUCGCUGAGAGGAGGUGCAUGGCCGUCGUCAGUUCGUACUGUGAAGCAUCCUGUUAAGUCAGGCAACGAGCAAGACCCGUGCCCACUGUUACCAGCGUAUCCUUUAUGGAUGAUGGGGACUCUGUGGGGACCGCUGCUGCUAAAGCAGAGGAAGGUGCGGGCUACGGUAGGUCAGUAUGCCCCGAAUCUCCCGGGCUACACGCGGGCUACAAUGGUUGGGACAAUGGGUAUCUACUCCGAAAGGAGUUGGCAAUCUCUUAAACCCAAUCGUAGUUCGAAUUGAGGGCUGUAACUCGCCACUCAUGAAGCUG